CAUGCAAGUCGAGCGGAUGAGAGGAGCUUGCUCCUGGAUUCAGCGGCGGACGGGUGAGUAAUGCCUAGGAAUCUGCCUGGUAGUGGGGGACAACGUUUCGAAAGGAACGCUAAUACCGCAUACGUCCUACGGGAGAAAGCAGGGGACCUUCGGGCCUUGCGCUAUCAGAUGAGCCUAGGUCGGAUUAGCUAGUUGGUGAGGUAAUGGCUCACCAAGGCGACGAUCCGUAACUGGUCUGAGAGGAUGAUCAGUCACACUGGAACUGAGACACGGUCCAGACUCCUACGGGAGGCAGCAGUGGGGAAUAUUGGACAAUGGGCGAAAGCCUGAUCCAGCCAUGCCGCGUGUGUGAAGAAGGUCUUCGGAUUGUAAAGCACUUUAAGUUGGGAGGAAGGGCAGUAACUUAAUACGUUGCUGUUUUGACGUUACCGACAGAAUAAGCACCGGCUAACUCUGUGCCAGCAGCCGCGGUAAUACAGAGGGUGCAAGCGUUAAUCGGAAUUACUGGGCGUAAAGCGCGCGUAGGUGGUUUGUUAAGUUGGAUGUGAAAGCCCCGGGCUCAACCUGGGAACUGCAUUCAAAACUGACAAGCUAGAGUAUGGUAGAGGGUGGUGGAAUUUCCUGUGUAGCGGUGAAAUGCGUAGAUAUAGGAAGGAACACCAGUGGCGAAGGCGACCACCUGGACUGAUACUGACACUGAGGUGCGAAAGCGUGGGGAGCAAACAGGAUUAGAUACCCUGGUAGUCCACGCCGUAAACGAUGUCAACUAGCCGUUGGGAGCCUUGAGCUCUUAGUGGCGCAGCUAACGCAUUAAGUUGACCGCCUGGGGAGUACGGCCGCAAGGUUAAAACUCAAAUGAAUUGACGGGGGCCCGCACAAGCGGUGGAGCAUGUGGUUUAAUUCGAA
rnacentral:rRNA from 1 species